GGCGAACGCUGGCGGCGUGCUUAACACAUGCAAGUCGAACGGUAAGGCCCUUCGGGGUACACGAGUGGCGAACGGGUGAGUAACACGUGGGCGAUCUGCCCUGCACUUAGGGAUAAGCCUGGGACACUGGGUCUAAUACCGGAUACGAAUCCGGAAUGCCUGGUCCGGGGCGGAAAGCUUUUUCGGUGUCGGAUGGGUCCGCGGCCUAUCAGCUUGUUGGUGGGGUGAUGGCCUACCAAGGCGUCGACGGGUAGCCGGCCUGAGAGGGUGACCGGCCACACUGGGACUGAGAUACGGCCCAGACUCCUACGGGAGGCAGCAGUGGGGAAUAUUGCACAAUGGGCGCAAGCCUGAUGCAGCGACGCCGCGUGAGGGAUGACGGCCUUCGGGUUGUAAACCUCUUUCAGCAUCGACGAAGCGAAAGUGACGGUAGGUGCAGAAGAAGGACCGGCCAACUACGUGCCAGCAGCCGCCGUAA
rnacentral:rRNA from 1 species